GCAGUAGCUCAGUGGCAAAGCCUCGGCUUCGUAUGCCGGAAGACCUGGGUUCGAUUCCUGGCUGC
rnacentral:tRNA from 1 species